rnacentral:tRNA from 1 species
UUCCUCGAUAGCUCAAUGGUAGAGCGCACGGCUGUUAACCGUGAUGUUGUAGGUUCGAGCCCUACUCGGGGAGU